UACGUAGGGGGCAAGCGUUGUCCGGAUUUAUUGGGCGUAAAGAGCUCGUAGGCGGUUUGGUAAGUCGGAUGUGAAAUCUCCACGCUCAACGUGGGAAUGGCGAUGGAAACUGGCGAGCUAGAGUACGGUAGAGGAGAGUGGAAUUCCUGGUGUAGCGGUGAAAUGCGCAGAUAUCAGGAGGAACACCAAUGGCGAAGGCAGCACUCUGGGACGUGACUGACGCUGAGACGCGAAAGCGUGGGGAGCAAACAGG
rnacentral:rRNA from 1 species